GACGAACGCUGGCGGCGUGCCUAAUACAUGCAAGUCGAGCGCAGGAAAUCGACGGAACCCUUCGGGGGGAAGUCGACGGAAUGAGCGGAGGACGGGUGAGUAACACGUAAAGAACCUGCCCUCAGGUCUGGGAUAACCACGAGAAAUCGGGGCUAAUACCGGAUGGGUCAUCGGACCGCAUGGUCCUAGGCUGAAAGGCGCUUCGGCGUCGCCUGGGGAUGGCUUUGCGGUGCAUUAGCGAGUUGGUGGGGUAAUGGCCCACCAAGGCGCCGAUGCAUAGCCGACCUGAGAGGGUGAUCGGCCACACUGGGACUGAGACACGGCCCAGACUCCUACGGGAGGCAGCAGUAGGGAAUCUUCCACAAUGGACGAAAGUCUGAUGGAGCAACGCCGCGUGAACGAUGUAGGCCUUCGGGUCGUAAAGUUCUGUUGUAAGGGAAGAACAAGUGCCGCAGGCAAUGGCGGCACCUUGACGGUACCUUGCGAGAAAGCCACGGCUAACUACGUGCCAGCCGCCGCGGUAAAAC
rnacentral:rRNA from 1 species